GAUGAACGCUGGCGGCGUGCUUAACACAUGCAAGUCGAACGGAAAGGCUCCUGCUUGCAGGGGUACUCGAGUGGCGAACGGGUGAGUAACACGUGGGUGAUCUGCCCUGCACUUCGGGAUAAGCCUGGGAAACUGGGUCUAAUACCGGAUAGGACGAUGGUUUGGAUGCCAUUGUGGAAAGUUUUUCGGUGUGGGAUGAGCUCGCGGCCUAUCAGCCUGUUGGUGGGGUAAUGGCCUACCAAGGCGUCGACGGGUAGCCGGCCUGAGAGGGUGUACGGCCACAUUGGGACUGAGAUACGGCCCAGACUCCUACGGGAGGCAGCAGUGGGGAAUAUUGCACAAUGGGCGCAAGCCUGAUGCAGCGACGCCGCGUGGGGGAUGACGGCCUUCGGGUUGUAAACUCCUUUCGCUAGGGACGAAGCGCAAGUGACGGUACCUGGAGAAGAAGCACCGGCUAACUACGUG
rnacentral:rRNA from 1 species